rnacentral:rRNA from 1 species
UGAGGAAUAUUGCGCAAUGGGCGAAAGCCUGACGCAGCGACGCCGCGUGGAGGAUGAAGGUCUUUGGAUUGUAAACUUCUGUUAAGUGGGAAGAAAAAACCGUUUCUAAUACAAACGGGAAAUGACGGUACCACUAAAGAAAGCACCGGCUAACUUCGUGCCAGCAGCCGCGGUAAUACGAAGGGUGCAAGCGUUAUUCGGAUUUAUUGGGUGUAAAGGGUGCGUAGACGGCAUAUUAAGUCCGCUGUUAAAUUUCCCGGCCUAACUGGGAACCAGCGGUGGAUACUGAUGUGCUAGAGGAUGGAAGAGAGAAGUGGAAUUCCCGGAGUAGCGGUAAAAUGCGUAGAUCUCGGGAGGAACACCAAUGGCGAAGGCAGCUUCUUGGUCCAUAUCUGACGUUGAGGCACGAAAGCGUGGGGAGCAAACAGG